GACGAACGCUGGCGGCGUGCCUAAUACAUGCAAGUCGAGCGGGUUUAUCCUUCGGGAUAAGCUAGCGGCGGACGGGUGAGUAACACGUAGGUAACCUGCCUUUAAGACUGGGAUAACUAUCGGAAACGAUAGCUAAGACCGGAUAACUGGUUUUCUCGCAUGAGAGAAUUAUGAAACACGGAGCAAUCUGUGGCUUAAAGAUGGGCCUGCGGCGCAUUAGCUAGUUGGNGAGGUAACGGCUCACCAAGGCGACGAUGCGUAGCCGACCUGAGAGGGUGAACGGCCACACGUGGGACUGAGACACGGCCCAGACUCCGUACGGGAGGCAGCAGUAGGGAAUCUUCCGCAAUGGACGCAAGUCUGACGGAGCAACGCCGCGUGAGUGAUGUAAGGUUUCGGAUCGUAAAGCUCUUGUUCGCCUAGACGAACAGCAUGAGGAGUAACUGCCUUGUGUGUG
rnacentral:rRNA from 1 species